AUUGAACGCUGGCGGCAUGCUUUACACAUGCAAGUCGAACGGUAACAGGCCGCAAGGUGCUGACGAGUGGCGAACGGGUGGGUAAUGCAUCGGAACGUGCCCAGCCGUGGGGGAUAACUACUCGAAAGAGUAGCUAAUACCGCAUACGAUCUAUGGAUGAAAGCGGGGGACCGUAAGGCCUCGCGCGAUUGGAGCGGCCGAUGUCAGAUUAGGUAGUUGGUGGGGUAAAGGCUCACCAAGCCAACGAUCUGUAGCUGGUCUGAGAGGACGACCAGCCACACUGGGACUGAGACACGGCCCAGACUCCUACGGGAGGCAGCAGUGGGGAAUUUUGGACAAUGGGCGCAAGCCUGAUCCAGCAAUGCCGCGUGCAGGAAGAAGGCCUUCGGGUUGUAAACUGCUUUUGUACGGAACGAAACGGCUCUGGUUAAUACCCGGGGCUAAUGACGGUACCGUAAGAAUAAGCACCGGCUAACUACGUG
rnacentral:rRNA from 1 species